UCAUCCCCACUUAAUCAAAAGCAAUAAGGCAAAAAAAAAGAGUUAAAAUAAAGCUCCGCAAUAUAGGACACCGACAUUUUAUACUUUUUAGAUAUCCAACUAAGUUAAAGUUAAGCCAUAGGAUAUGCAAUCAUGCACAUUACUUGGUGUGUAUGAAACCAAACGAAGGAGAGUUUUAGCCGGCAAAACUUGCUGUUGAAGAUGGAAAUUCAUGAGAGGAUAAGGCUUUUUUUUUAAUAAAGUUACAUCAAUCAAGUAGAUUAUCCACCUUUGAUUUAUGCCUGAAUGUGCUGUUUGCAAUAAGUUAUUAGUUAUUUGAUUAUUUCUAUAGAAAAUGUGAAUGUGAGAUCGUUUUAUAGUCAAAUAGUUUGGUUUAUGUGAACACAAUAUAAAGAUUUGAGACUAUUUCAGAUGAUAAAAGUUGCAUAUCCUAAAAUAACUAGCUUAUACACAUACAAGAUAUUUGCUUUAUGGUCACUUUAAAGUUAGGUUCUGUAAGUUGAAAUUUAUCAUAAUUUU
rnacentral:lncRNA from 1 species